rnacentral:rRNA from 1 species
UCAGCAACGGAUAUCUUGGCUCUUGCAACGAUGAAGAACGCAGCGAAAUGCGAUACUUAAUGUGAAUUGCAGAAUUCCGCGAAUCAUCGAGUCUUUGAACGCAAGUUGCGCCCGAGGCUUGUCCGAGGGCAUUUCCGCUAGAGCGUCACCGCGCCCCCCCACCGAUCCGGUCCGCGCCGCUCCCGCGGCGCCGCGAGCUCGGGUCGAGUGAAAGUGGCCGUCCCGGCGGGCCUCCUCCUCCUCGCGAGGGCGAGGGCGCCCCAAGGGUGGGCUGAAAUGGAUGCAACGGGGCCGCCGCGGCGGCGCAGCCCGCGAUCGGGUGACGUCCCGGACAGCCGUCCGGGACUCUUUCUAAGUGCGCGGCUGCGUCCCCCAGUCGGUUCCCUGGCUCGUGCAGGUCGAGCGCGCGCCCCCCGCGGCGCGCGCGUCACGCAUCAGACCUCUAAUCGGAAAAGACCGCCCGC